rnacentral:rRNA from 1 species
AACGGGUGAGUAAUGCGUGACCAACCUGCCCCAUGCUCCAGAAUAGCUCUUGGAAACGGGUGGUAAUGCUGGAUGCUCCAACUUGACGCAUGUCUUGUUGGGAAAGUGUUUAGUGGCAUGGGAUGGGGUCGCGUCCUAUCAGCUUGUAGGCGGGGUAAUGGCCCACCUAGGCUUCGACGGGUAGCCGGCCUGAGAGGGCGGACGGCCACAUUUGGACUGAGACACGGCCCAGACUCCUACGGGAGGCAGCAGUA